UACGUAGGGGGCAAGCGUUGUCCGGAUUUAUUGGGUUUAAAGGGUGCGUAGGCGGUCUAUUAAGUCAGUUGUGAAAUACGGCAGCUCAACUGUCGAGGUGCAAUUGAUACUGAUGGACUUGAGUACUGAUGAGGUAAGCGGAAUGGACGGUGUAGCGGUGAAAUGCUUAGAUAUCGUCCAGAACACCGAUAGCGAAGGCAGCUUACUAAGGAGUAACUGACGCUGAGGCACGAAAGUGUGGGGAUCAAACAGG
rnacentral:rRNA from 1 species